GCACUGCUGAGGAGUCAAACAAUAGACGAAACAGCCGUCCAGUGC
rnacentral:hammerhead_ribozyme from 1 species